AUUGAACGCUGGCGGCAUGCCUAACACAUGCAAGUCGAACGGUAACGACGGAAGCUUGCUUCCGGGCGACGAGUGGCGGACGGGUGAGUAACGCGUAGGAAUCUGCCCAGUAGUGGGGGACAACUCGAGGAAACUCGAGCUAAUACCGCAUACGCCCUACGGGGGAAAGCGGGGGAUCUUCGGACCUCGCGCUAUUGGAUGAGCCUGCGUCGGAUUAGCUUGUUGGUGGGGUAAAGGCCUACCAAGGCGACGAUCCGUAGCUGGUCUGAGAGGACGACCAGCCACACUGGGACUGAGACACGGCCCAG
rnacentral:rRNA from 1 species